rnacentral:rRNA from 1 species
UACGAGUGCCCCGAGCGUUAUCCGGAAUUAUUGGGCGUAAAGGGUGCGUAGGUGGUCCGUUAAGUUCGUUGUGAAAUCCCUGGGCUCAACCCAGGAAAUGCUUCGAAUACUGGCGGACUUGAGGCUAGUAGAGGUCACUGGAACUGACGGUGGAGCGGUGAAAUGCGUAGAUAUCGUCAGGAACGCCGAUGGUGAAGACAGGUGACUGGGCUAGUUCUGACACUGAGGCACGAAAGCGUGGGGAGCGAACGGG